UACAGAGGUCUCAAGCGUUGUUCGGAUUUAUUGGGCGUAAAGGGCGCGUAGGCGGCGGGGUAAGUCGGGUGUGAAAUCUCAGGGCUCAACCCUGAAACUGCACUUGAUACUGCUCUGCUUGAGGACUGGAGAGGAGACUGGAAUUCACGGUGUAGCAGUGAAAUGCGUAGAGUAUCGUGAGGAAGACCAGUGGCGAAGGCGGGUCUCUGGACAGUUCCUG
rnacentral:rRNA from 1 species